UGUCGGUCCCCCAUAAUGCAAUGCUCCUGGCAAAGCCAAAUGGAAUGCCCCCGUUUAACACACUCACACACAAGGCACACAAACACGCUCACAAAGAGAGCAGGCGUCGAUCAGCAAUUAUAAAAGCCACACUAGUUAAAGCGGACAUGACUGAACCUUCCAGAGGUCUCUUUUACCUUCCUAUCAUCUAUCUAUGGACAGGAGGGGUGGAGGCCGAUGUUCUGGCAUCUCUGGCCCCUCCGGUCCACCUGUCAGGGGAAAGGCUUGGCUGGACACUGCUGGUCUGUAUGGUGAGUGACUUCAGAAGAGGACGUCUGGAGGUCAGGUGGAGAUCAGCAUCAGAGGACCACAUGUCAACCGGACCAUACAGUAUCGCUGUAACCAGGAGGCAUCGCGGCCACAACGCUGUGGCAGUUAUAACAGUAGCGACCAGUGACUGGCCGUCAUACAGUUGCUCUGUGAGUCACAGACAUCGUUCAAAAGUCACGAGGACACACCUCACCACUUCAUCAGAUAUUGCUGUGAGGACAAACGCGGCGGUUGUACUGGCCCUGAGGCUUAUUCUCAUGAAGAUCCUCGUCUUUGAUGCUCUGGUGACCAUUUAUGUUGUUAUUAAGUGAUCGUUGGUACUGAAAGGUUUCUGAUGCACCAAGUGACCAUGAAAAGAAAACUAACCCCACAGAGGGGAACUUUUUCUUGUCUGAAGUCUCCACAGUGAGGACCGCUACAGUCGAAGAUGAUAAGUGUGUUCCAGUCUCAUGGUUUAUUUCAUGAAGACGGUUUUACUGUGAGAUUUUUGGAAAGUUUCCUGAAUCAAAUGGGAAUUGUUUCACUCUCAGGAUCACAGGAGUAGGUUUUGUAAUGCGACAAAUCCUUGGUCGCGCCUUUUUCAGCCGUCUCACACCGACUUCACAGGUGUUGCUGACUAUGGCAGUUGAAAACAGAACGAGUUUGUGAGGCCAAACCUGGUAUCUGAUUGAAGCCUAACCUCAGACAGACGGUUUAAUGCUCCUGCUGUUGCAUAUGUGUAUGUGCUUUUGUGAGACGAUAUGCGUGUCUAGUUGUAACCAUAAUACUGAAUUUCUUAAUUUACCAGAAAGAAAAUUGUGAGUGUUUGGAAGUUUCCACAUAAUUUCAUUUUUGAAAUAGCCUCAUUUUGCUUUUUAUAUUCUUCAAUGUAAAUUCAAUAAACACAAAGUAAGUUUGGAGUGUUUCGACUUUAUUGUUUUUUAAAUAAAACACUGGCAAACA
ensembl:lncRNA